rnacentral:rRNA from 1 species
UACGUAGGGUGCAAGCGUUAAUCGGAAUUACUGGGCGUAAAGCGUGCGCAGGCGGUUUUGUAAGACAGGGGUGAAAUCCCCGGGCUUAACCUGGGAACUGCAUUUGUGACUGCAAAGCUGGAGUGCGGCAGAGGGGGAUGGAAUUCCGCGUGUAGCAGUGAAAUGCGUAGAUAUGCGGAGGAACACCGAUGGCGAAGGCAAUCCCCUGGGCCUGCACUGACGCUCAUGCACGAAAGCGUGGGGAGCAAACAGG